CUAUGGGCUUCAAAGUGCUGUUCGUGCAGGUAGCUUAAUAACAGACCUACUGCAUGGGCGGCACUUCCCAAGCCCAUUG
rnacentral:pre_miRNA from 1 species